rnacentral:rRNA from 1 species
CAGCAGCCACGGGAAUACGUAGGUGGCAAGCGUUGUCCGGAAUUAUUGGGCGUAAAGCGCGCGCAGGCGGAUCAGUUAGUCUGUCUUAAAAGUUCGGGGCUUAACCCCGUGAUGGGAUGGAAACUGCUGAUCUAGAGUAUCGGAGAGGAAAGUGGAAUUCCUAGUGUAGCGGUGAAAUGCGUAGAUAUUAGGAAGAACACCAGUGGCGAAGGCGACUUUCUGGACGAAAACUGACGCUGAGGCGCGAAAGCCAGGGGAGCGAACGGGAUUAGAUACCCCCGUAGUCCCUGUCUCUUAUACA